rnacentral:rRNA from 1 species
GGGCCCGCACAAGCAGUGGAGUAUGUGGUUUAAUUCGAAGCAACGCGAAGAACCUUACCAGGGCUUGACAUCCCUCUGACCGGCGUAGAGAUACGCCUUCCCUUCGGGGCAGAGGUGACAGGUGGUGCAUGGUUGUCGUCAGCUCGUGUCGUGAGAUGUUGGGUUAAGUCCCGCAACGAGCGCAACCCUUACGUUUAGUUGCUACGCAAGAGCACUCUAGACGGACUGCCGUUGACAAAACGGAGGAAGGUGGGGACGACGUCAAAUCAUCAUGCCCCUUAUGUCCUGGGCUACACACGUACUACAAUGGCGGCCAACAGAGGGCAGCGAAACCGCGAGGCGGAGCGAAUCCUCAAACGCCGUCCCAGUUCGGAUUGCAGGCUGAAACUCGCCUGCAUGAAGUCGGAAUUGCUAGUAAUCGCGGAUCAUCAUGCCGCGGUGAAUACGUUCCCGGGCCUU